GUGCACGCUGGCGGUAGGCCUAACACCUGCAAGUCGAACGGCAGCACAGUAAGAGCUUGCUCUUACGGGUGGCGAGUGGCGGACGGGUGAGGAAUACAUCGGAAUCUACUUUUUCGUGGGGGAUAACGUAGGGAAACUUACGCUAAUACCGCAUACGACCUACGGGUGAAAGCAGGGGAUCUUCGGACCUUGCGCGAUUGAAAGAGCCGAUGUCGGAUUAGCUAGUUGGCGGGGUAAAGGCCCACCAAGGCGACGAUCCGUAGCUGGUCUGAGAGGAUGAUCAGCCACACUGGAACUGAGACACGGUCCAGACUCCUACGGGAGGCAGCAGUGGGGAAUAUUGGACAAUGGGCGCAAGCCUGAUCCAGCCAUACCGCGUGGGUGAAGAAGGCCUUCGGGUUGUAAAGCCCUUUUGUUGGGAAAGAAAAGCAGCAGGUUAAUACCCCGCUGUUCUGACGGUACCCAAAGAAUAAGCGCCGGCUAACUUCGUG
rnacentral:rRNA from 1 species